UACAGAGGUCUCAAGCGUUGUUCGGAUUCAUUGGGCGUAAAGGGGUGCGUAGCGGCGCGGUAAGUCGGGUGUGAAAUCUUGGAGCUUAACUCCGAAACUGCAUUCGAUACUGCCGUGCUUGAGGACUGGAGAGGAGACUGGAAUUUACGGUGUAGCGGUGAAAUGCGUAGAUAUCGUAAGGAAGACCAGUGGCGAAAGCGACUUCCUGGUCCAAUACUGACGUUCAUGUGCGAAAGCGUGGGGAGC
rnacentral:rRNA from 1 species